GAGCGGUAGAGAGAAGCUUGCUUCUCUUGAGAGCGGCGGACGGGUGAGUAAUGCCUAGGAAUCUGCCUGCGUAGUGGGGGAUAACGUUCGGAAACGGACGCUAAUACCGCAUACGUCCUACGGGAGAAAGCAGGGGACCUUCGGGCCUUGCGCUAUCAGAUGAGCCUAGGUCGGAUUAGCUAGUUGGUGGGGUAAUGGCUCACCAAGGCGACGAUCCGUAACUGGUCUGAGAGGAUGAUCAGUCACACUGGAACUGAGACACGGUCCAGACUCCUACGGGAGGCAGCAGUGGGGAAUAUUGGACAAUGGGCGAAAGCCUGAUCCAGCCAUGCCGCGUGUGUGAAGAAGGUCUUCGGAUUGUAAAGCACUUUAAGUUGGGAGGAAGGGUUGUAGAUUAAUACUCUGCAAUUUUGACGUUACCGACAGAAUAAGCACCGGCUAACUCUGUG
rnacentral:rRNA from 1 species